rnacentral:rRNA from 1 species
UACGUAGGGUGCGGGCGUUAAUCGGAAUUAUUGGGCGUAAAGAGCUCGUAGGCGGUUUGUCGCGUCUGCUGUGAAAACUCGGGGCUUAACCCCGGGCCUGCAGUGGGUACGGGCAGACUAGAGUGCGGUAGGGGAGACUGGAAUUCCUGGUGUAGCGGUGAAAUGCGCAGAUAUCAGGAGGAACACCUGUGGCGUAGACAGCUUACUGGACCACUUCUGACGCUGAGACACGAAAGCGUGGGUAGCAAACAGG